AGGCCCCUGUUGCUGGGACAACUCUGUUGCCUUCCCGGCUGAGCAAGGCCUUAGCCAGAGGCUGGCGUUUUGGGCAGGCCAUCUCAAGGUGGCCCCACAAUAAAAUAGAGUUUGUGUCGAGACGCUUCGCCAAGCGCCCAGGAAGCUCUCCCGGUCCCCUGCCACGGUGAGCAUCUCACAGACUGGGAACCCAGGCCUGGCCGAAGAAUAACAACCAAGCCUAGAAGUCAGACUCUCGAUUGACUGACAUUCUGGCAACGCGAGGGCGUCAGGACGCUUAGGUGCAAGUUCACGUCCUACCUGCGCCGCCUCUGAAUCAUCUCGAGGAAACGGCACUUCAUGUAGGCGGCCACUGGGACAGAGAAGGCUCGAGAUAACCAAGGCUGCAUCUCCCAGUGAUCCAAACAAACUUCUUCUGAUGGCAACCUUUGUAAACACGCUUAGUUCCCUUCUGAUGUUUCCGGUAUAAAGUGGCUGUCACUCUGGUGCAACAGCUCAGGGCUGUGCUGAGAGAAGGUGCAAUCCACCAGGACGCGGGGCCAGAAUCAAGUGUGGGAAACGGUCCUGACACUCCUUGUCAUCUGCUAAGGCCACAGUCCUUGCCUUGAGAUGAAGGUAGUCCCAUUCGAUUGCGUUCUUAGCUGCAGAUCUUUCUACGCAUGGGACCUUGGAAGACAAGUUGGAGGAGUUCUGACUUGCCACCUCCCAUGAGCCUGUGUGACAGGGUGCUGUCCUUGCACGGGGGUGAGCCACUCCAACAAUGGCAGAUGAAGGGGGAGAGAGAAGCGGGCAGCAGGCCCAGCCUGUGCGUCGCUGGAGCGGGAGCAGAGCCAUCAGAGGCUUAGCUGGCGGAGGGAUCGCGUCGCACGGAGGCCACGCCCUUUUUGUACCCAAGGCAGCACAGGACCGGGGGAGGGAAAGUGACCCACCCGAGGUCACAGAGGGGAGCUGCGGGGGACCCAUCCUCGAGGCUUCAGUUCCAGGGCUGUUUUCUGUCACAGGAUGCUAUAGCCUCAGAGUUUGAUUUUGAACUGGAUGGAAACUUAAAGCCUAACCCACCAGUCCUUAAGUGGUGCCUAAAAUUAUACCCAUUAGACUCA